GCCAGGUGUGGUGGCGCACAUCUGUAGUCCUAGCUACUUGGGAAGCUGAGGCAGGAGGAUUGCUUGAGCCCAGGAGGUUGAGGAUGCAGUGAGCUGUCAUUACACCACUGCACUCUAGCCUGGGUGACAGAGCAAGACCCUGUAUCAA
rnacentral:sRNA from 1 species